rnacentral:lncRNA from 1 species
UCACAAAGUAAAAAAUAGAACGACAUUAUGCUCCAGCAAUCCUUCUUCCUGGUAUGUAUAGGAGGGCCUUCCUCCUGCCCCUUUUGAAGUGCUGAGGGCUUUGGCCUGAUGGGUGAACCUGUUGGUGGGGAGAGAGUUGCAGGAAGCCUAGCACCCAGGGCUGAACUUUCUGGGUCUGUUGCUCUGGGUCCAUGGGAUGUACAAUCUUGGCUCCACGAAACCCCCACUCUAUCUGCAGUCCAUGGCCUCCCCCCUGUAUGGUGUGCUGCAGGCACCGCAGUCACUGGCCAUUCCCCCCACCCCACAGCUGCCUUCCCAGUGGAAACCCUGAGUGUGGGCUGCUGUGCCAAACUGGCCAAGGUCAUCACAAUGAGGUGCUGGUGAUGCACCAGGAGGUUCAAGUCCUGCACAGCUAACUGCCUGGGCAGUAUGAGGACAGCAGUGAGAUGUCUGAGAUGGAGAUGCCCUGUGACCAGGUGUGGGCAACACACUGGAGGUGCCUGUGGGCUCCAGGCUCAACCUCACAGGCCUGGGCUACUUCUCCUGGCACUGCCACCAUGGUCCAGGAAUACCCCUAUUUCUUCCUCCUCAGGUGAGCCGUGUACAUUGUGCCCACCACCCCUUUGGCCUGUUGGCAUGACCAGCCGAGGUCACCUUUAUCUGGAGCACGGUGGCACCCUACUCCAUUCUUUCCUGCUCUUCCUGGCAUCUCUACAGAGAUCCUGGCUCCCUCUGUCUGAGGCUGUUGGAUAAACAGGGAUUAUUCCUCUGCUUAAAGGACAGAAGAGUGUUUUAGGCAUAAGCUCAAGGUGGUUGUAUACAACAAACAGCCAGGCCCUUCCCAAUAGCAAGGGUUUAUGGGCGGGGGAGCUGCUGGGGGAAAACCCUGGACAGUGUGCUUUAAGGAAUGGAAAGGUAAAUCCAGCAGGAGGCCCUCUCUGUUUGAGGUCCAUGAAAGCUGGUUUGUGCUCCAGAUGAAAUGAUUGUGGAUGAGAAUUCAGGCAAUGGGUUGGUUGCAUGGAAGCUGACUACCAGGUGGAACCCUAACAUCUGUGGAAUCAUAUUUCCAACUGGAUUCAGUGGGAGUCAUUUGGGAUGGAUGAUUGGCAAAAGAAAACAAAAACAUUUUGAGGGGUUCCCGUGGUGGCUCAAAACAAACUAGUAUCCAGGAGGAUGCAGGUUUGAUCCCUGGCCUUGCUUGGGUGGGUUAAGGAUCUGGCAUUGUGGUGAGCUGUGGUGUAGUUUGCAGAUGUGGCAUGGAACUGGCAUUGAUGUGGCUGUGCCAUAGGCCAGCAACUCCAGCUCUGAUUAGAUAUCUGGUCUGGGAACUUCCAUAUACUGAGUGUGUGGCCUUAAAAAGGAAAACAUAAAUGAAAAGCAAGAACACUUUGGAAUCACACCAUUGUUGUAAUUAGGGUUCUGCUCUUCCUGUAACUUUGAGCAAGUUACCUUAUUGAGAAUUUAGUAGCCUCCCAUUUGUAGUGGGAAAAAGAAGGUUGGUUGAGACUAAAACCUAGGACCUCGUGCAGAACAUCAGGUGCAGGUUCGAUGCUGAAGGAAUCAUCACUCUUCUGCUCACAUGUUUCAGUGUCAAGCUGGAAUGUGUGGAAUGCAAUGCAGCUGUCCUCUUGUUUUCACUUAUUUGAGUACAUAUCUCCUGCCAACAGACCUCAGGGCCAGGCUUUUCCUAUCGCAAAACUUCGAGGGGCCUUGGGGGGUGGUUAGGGCCUGGGUGGGUAAGACCCUGUGUCAUGGGGCUUUGAAAACUAUGGGGAUGAGUUAGGUAGGAGCCCUCUCUGAUUGGAGAUUCCUGGAACAUUGUACAGUUCCAUGAAAUUUGGCCUGUGGCCAUGAUGACAUGCCUGUGGAUAAGAAUUCCUACAAUGGGUUUCACUGAAGUUUGAGAUAAAAAGCAGGAAGUGGAACCCUAAAUGGAAAGAUUGUCUCCAGUUGAAGGGGCAGAUUGAUGCAGAGUGAUGAAGAGGAAGCUCAGAAUGGAAUCCCCAGCUUCUGUCAAGAUAGCAAAUGAAUGAAUCCACAGUUGCAAUGGGCAGUAGUUCCAUUCUUCCCAGUUCUUUGAGUAGCAUUAGGGAUAUUGACCAUGGCAUUGGCCUGCAUACUCGCUUUUGGCUCUUGAGAUCUCAUGUCCCUGAGAACAAAAACAGUAAAUUCCACAGAGGGAUGUCAUAAGCUCAUGGCAACAUAUGUUUUCCAUACUGAAGACAGAAUGUCUAAGUUUAGAAUACAUGGUGUGUUGCGUGUUAACUUGGGUAGUUUACCUAGAUUAAGUUGGAGUUUUAAAAACUUGAUGAGAAGUAACAGUUUCUAAAUAAAGUCAUUGAGAGGUGAGACAGUACCCUUCUUGAUAAAGAGAAACUUAACUGAGAUUUUUUUCAUGGUUUUCUUUAGAUAAAACACUGGGAACCCAGAUAUAAAACUACUCAAUAUGAAAACUUUAUUUUCCAAAGGAAAAAAAAAAGAGCUGGAGAACUUGAGAAGACAUUCUUUUCCAGUUUUUUUCAUGGAAUACAGUUGUGUCCACCUGCUCUGUGGAGGUUGGCCACCUCUUUCCUCUUUUGCUCUGACACAUUUAUCAAAUGUUAGGGCAGAAAUAGAGAGUCAAAUGGGACUCUGACAGAUUUCUCCCUCCCAGGGCUGGAAUGCCCUGAAAUGUCUGCAUGAGGGCUUACAUGUCAUACCUCCUGUGUUACUCUGGGACCCACUGAGAAGUGGACAGAUUAUGGUUGGUGUCACAGGAGAAAGCUUCAGUGGAGCCUCACCAAGGAGCCUCACAUGCCCUCUCUGGGCUAGAGUGUAACUCCAUCCCUUCCUUUCCUUUCCUUGAUGGCUUUCUCUUGCCAACAGCCCUUUACCCCAGGCUCUGUAAAAGUGUUGACUUUGUACUGCACUCCCUGUGUGCCAUACACCUUACUUUUAUUUAUUUACUUAUCUUUUUAGGGCCACACCCACAGCAUAUGGAGGUUCCUGGACUAGGGGUCAAAUGGGAGCUGUAGCUGCCAGCUUGCACCACACUCACAGCAACACCAGAUCCAAGCCAUGUCUGUGACGUACACAGAAGCUCUCAGCAGCACUGGAUCCUUAAGCCACUGAGGAAGGCUGGAGAUUUAACCCGCACCCCCAUGGAUACUAGUCAGGUUCAUUACCACUGAGUCACAAUUGCAACUCUUAACACCUUACUUUUUAAAAUGCAAUCCUUCAAAGUUCCCUUGUGGUCCAGUGGGAUAAGUUUUGCCACAGCUGUUACACAGAGGUCAGAACGGUAUGGGUUUGAAUCCCUGGUCCAGGAAUUUUCACAUGCCAUGUGUAUG